rnacentral:rRNA from 1 species
UACGGAGGGGACUAGCGUUGUUCGGAAUUACUGGGCGUAAAGCGCACGUAGGCGGAUUUGUAAGUCAGGGGUGAAAUCCCGGGGCUCAACCUCGGAACUGCCUUUGAUACUGCAAAUCUCGAGUCCGGAAGAGGUGAGUGGAAUUCCUAGUGUAGAGGUGAAAUUCGUAGAUAUUAGGAAGAACACCAGUGGCGAAGGCGGCUCACUGGUCCGGGUACUGACGCUGAGGUGCGAAAGCGUGGGGGAGCAAACAGG